AAACCUGUCCGUGGCUGGCAGCCCUGUGAUACCUCGCCACAUUCUGCAACAGAAUCCGAGAUAGAGGUAGAAGUGGGGGAGUACGUCGUGGCUGUCAGGGCAGCUUUCUGUAAAAUGCUGCCUGGAGGAGCAUGUGAUUCCAGACCCUCCUCUCUGCAACGAAAGUGAGGUUGACACCUGCAGGCCUGGGGCCUCCUGGCCCACUGAGCAGAACACACAGAAGCUGGGCCCACCCCUGCCCUCCCCACAAAGGGUCACGGGAGCCACCGCCUGACUUUGAAGCCCACUGACUUGCGGCUGACAAGAGAAAAGAUGUGUCUUAGGUAACAGAGCAUGGGACAGAGCCACUGCAGCCAUGCCCAGGGAGGGCCGGGGUGAGUAAGCAUUGUGAGGUUUUGGGCAGAACGUGGCUGCACUGUGCACGCGGUGAGGGAUCGAAGGGGGCCCCCAAAGACACUCGAAGAACAGUGGGGGCCCUGAAAAGUGCCAAUGCUGAGCCCAGACAGAUGGAAGACCUUGGACAAAUUCCCCGACACCCCUGAGCCUCGAUUUCCUCAUCUGAAAAGUGGGGUGGUGAUGACAGCACAUCUCAGAGGGCUGGGAGGACGAAGCCACCAAGUGACAGCUGCGAUGGAUCCACAGGGGCAGCAGCCGAGCAACCCGAGAUCUGCAGAGCCAUGGUGGGCCCAGCCCCAUCCUGCCCCCCAUGCAGCCAGUGAGAAGCCCUGCUGCUGGAGGGGAUGGAGCUACGGGGACCGAUCAAUUACACCACAGUGUGAGGUCUCUGUGCCUUCCAAACUCCAUCCUGAGUGUUUAUUGCCUCAAAAAUGAAGGGUGGGAGCCCCAAAGACCAAACAAACAGCUGAUGAGAGAGAGAGAGAGAGAGAGAGGGAGAGAGAGAAAGAAUGGGUCUGCACUGCAGCCUGUGCUAUAACAAGAGACAGAGGGACCCUCUUGACUGGGGUCUCCAGCUGAGAGCGGGGAGGCCCCCUGGGGAGGUCUCUUCCAAGGUCUGAGGAAGGAGGAGAGGUGGAUGGGGCCUUGGGAUUAGGGAGAUGGGGCGGGGCCACCAUGUGUUGGCUGUGGGGCCCUGGGCAAGGAGUUAACCUCUCUGUGCCUCAGUCUCCUCCUCUAUAAAAUGGGUAUGACAGACAGUAAUAGUCUCUCCACCCUUAAAGGGCCGUUGUGAAGAUUAAAGAAGUGAACAAUUGUUGGUGCUUGGAGCAAAGCCUGGCUCUGGCAGUGGGCUUUGUAUUUAUGUUUGGUCAGUAUAUAAGAGUAAAUGCUUAAGACCAGCUGGGGAACCACAGCGAGAUCCCAUCUCCACAAAAAAUAAAAUUAAAAAAAAAAA
rnacentral:lncRNA from 1 species